rnacentral:rRNA from 1 species
GCAUGUAUCAGUACACGCCUUCAUAAGGUGAAACCGCGAACGGCUCAUUAUAACAGCUAUAAUUUACUGGACCUUGAGCAGUUACUCGGAUAACUGUGGUAAUUCUAGAGCUAAUACGUGCACCGAAGCUGUCCCUCACGGGGCAGUGCAUUUAUUUGAGCAAAACCAGGCGACCUCGGUCGUUUCUGCUGACUCAGAAUAACUAAGCUGAUCGCAUGGGCUUGUCCCGGCGACGUGUCUUUCAAGUGUCUGCCUUAUCAACUUUCGAUGGUAGUGUACGUGACUACCAUGGUGUUGACGGGUAACGGGGGAUCAGGGUUCGACUCCGGAGAAGGGGCCUGAGAAAUGGCCACUACGUCUAAGGAUGGCAGCAGGCGCGCAAAUUACCCACUCUCGGUUCGAGGAGGUAGUGACGAAAAAUAACAAGGCCGUUCUCUUUGAGGCCGGCCAUUGGAAUGAGUACAACUCAAACCCUUUAACGAGUAUCAAUGAGAGGGCAAGUCUGGUGCCAGCAGCCGCGGUAAUUCCAGCUCUCAAAAUGCAUAGAACCAUUGCUGCGGUUAAAAAGCUCGUAGUUGGAUCUGUGCCGGCGACGUGGUCCGCCCUAACCGGCGGUACUGCGCUCGUCGGCUUUGGGCCGGUCUUCGGACGGUCGCCUUCACUGGUGGCCGCUCGUGGCUGGCUGGUUUACUUUGAGCAAAUCAGAGUGCUCAGCACAGGCGUCUCGCCGGAAUGUUCGUGCAUGGAAUAAUGGAAAAGGAUUUCGGUCCUCUUUUAUUGGUUUUGUGGACUGAGAUAAUGGUUAACAGAGACGGACGGGGGCAUUCGUAUUGCUGCGUGAGAGGUGAAAUUCUUGGACCGCAGCAGGACGGACUACAGCGAAAGCA